AUUAUAAACAGGUAACAUUGCCCCUUCAUCUCGGCAGAGCUCAACCUGGGUGACAAGUGUCUGGACGGCGUGCUGAACAACAACAGCUACGAGUCAGACAUCCUGAAGAAUUACCUGGCAACCAGAGGUUUGACAUGGAAAAACAUGUUGACCGAGAGCCUCGUGGCUCUCCAGCGGGGAGUGUUUCUGCUGUCUGAUUACAGAGUCACGGGAGACACCGUUCUGUGUUACUGCUGUGGCCUGCGCAGCUUCCGUGAGCUGACCUAUCAGUAUCGGCAGAACAUUCCUGCUUCCGAGUUGCCAGUGGCCGUAACAUCCCGUCCUGACUGCUACUGGGGCCGUAACUGCCGCACUCAGGUGAAAGCUCACCACGCCAUGAAAUUCAAUCAUAUCUGUGAACAGACAAGGUUCAAAAGCUAAGCAUCCAGAGGCCCUGAGCAGCUUUCAGCACUGGAGGUAUCAUGAUAUUAGCUGGUUUGACAUCAAGCCAUUUGUGAGUCAUCAGAUCUUCUGAAAAUGGGAGACACAGUAGGGCCCCUCCCAGGAGCUCUUGGCUGUUGCUGAUGGCAGAAGCCAAG
rnacentral:sRNA from 1 species